UCUUCGCUAGUAUAUCGGUUAGUACACGCGCCUGUCACUCGUAAGCUGGGUUCGACUCCCAGGCGAAGAG